GCCCGCACAAGCGGUGGAGCAUGUUGUUUAAUUSGAAGCAACGCGAAGAACYUUACCAGGUCUUGACAUCYUCUGACAAUCCUAGAGAUAGGACGUCCCCUUYGGGGGCAGAGUGACAGGUGGUGCAUGGUUGUUGUCAGCUCGUGUCGUGAGAUGUUGGGUUAAGUCCCGCAACGAGCGCAACCCUUGAUCUUAGUUGCCAGCAUUCAGUUGGGCACUCUAAGGUGACUGCCGGUGACAAACCGGAGGAAGGUGGGGAUGACGUCAAAUCAUCAUGCCCCUUAUGACCUGGGCUACACACGUGCUACAAUGGACAGAACAAAGGGCAGCGAAACCGCGAGGUUAAGCCAAUCCCACAAAUCUGUUCUCAGUUCGGAUCGCAGUCUGCAACUYGACUGCGUGAAGCUGGAAUCGCUAGUAAUCGCGGAUCAGCAUGCCGCGGUGAAUACGUUCCCGGGCCUUGUACACACCGCCCGUCACACCACGAGAGUUUGUAACACCCGAAGUCGGUGAGGUAACCUUUAUGGAGRCAGCCGCCGAAGGUGGGACAGAUGAUUGGSGUGAAGUCGU
rnacentral:rRNA from 1 species